GGAGUUAGCCGGUGCUUCUUCUGUGAGUGAUGUCCUUCCUGCCGGCUAUUAACCCGCAGGCCUUCUUCCUCACUGAAAGUGCUUUACAACCCGAAGGCCUUCUUCACACACGCGGCAUGGCUGGAUCAGGGUUGCCCCCAUUGUCCAAUAUUCCCCACUGCUGCCUCCCGUAGGAGUCUGGGCCGUGUCUCAGUCCCAGUGUGGCUGAUCAUCCUCUCAGACCAGCUACGGAUCGUCGCCUUGGUGAGCCGUUACCUCACCAACCAGCUAAUCCGACAUAGGCUCAUCCGAUAGCGCGAGGCCCGAAGGUCCCCCGCUUUCCCCCGUAGGGCGUAUGCGGUAUUAGCCUGGGUUUCCCCAGGUUAUCCCCCACUACCGGGCAGAUUCCUAUGCAUUACUCACCCGUCCGCCGCUACGUCCACCUCGGAAGACGACGUCACCGUCGCUCGACCGUCGUCCGACUUGUCGUUAAGUCGUACGUACCGGCCCUAGCCGGUCCGUACCGUCGUUCGACUCUAGUACGAACUACUAGUACUAACGUACGUCGGGA
rnacentral:rRNA from 1 species